GGGGGCAGCAGGCGCAAUGAUAGACUUAUCAAUCUAAUCGUUGGGGGUUCGACUCCCCUUGCCUCCACCA
rnacentral:tRNA from 1 species